GCUGGGUUAGCUUAGGGGUGGAGUACAUGUUUGUGACACAGGAGAUAUCAGUUCGAGUCUGGUACCUGCA
rnacentral:tRNA from 1 species